rnacentral:rRNA from 1 species
UACGUAGGGCGCAAGCGUUGUCCGGAUUUAUUGGGCGUAAAGAGCUCGUAGGCGGCUUGUCGCGUCGAAUGUGAAAACUCGGGGGCUCAACUCCGAGCUUGCAUUCGAUACGGGCAGGCUAGAGUUCGGUAGGGGAGACUGGAAUUCCUGGUGUAGCGGUGAAAUGCGCAGAUAUCAGGAGGAACACCGGUGGCGAAGGCGGGUCUCUGGGCCGAUACUGACGCUGAGGAGCGAAAGCGUGGGGAGCGAACGGGG